rnacentral:lncRNA from 1 species
UUAUAAAUGGACGCUCACAGUAUCGUGAGUGUUAUACUUUGAUAUCACUACAAAGUUAACAUGUUUUAAGCUGGUGUUUUGCUUGAAAUAUCCAACGAAAGGGAGAAGUGUUACCAUAGAAUUGUUCCAAUGAAAACUUUGUACCUCGUCACGAAGAACGAAAGAAAAAUUCUCAGAGAAGUCAAAAACCACCACUACUUCUCCAUCUUCUAUCUCUUUCUUCGCUCUUUUAAAGUUGGAGGAUUGCAUUUUGGUUAUAAAAGCAUGCUGUUGAUAUUUUUGAAGACCUUUCGUAAAAUCUUCGACGAAAUCUAGACUAGAUUUCACUCAUGUUUCCAGCUGUUACCUAUCUGUAUGUAUCCAUCUUCUAUAAGUUAUUUCAUCAAUCAUCUUUUCCUCCAAAAUCUGAGACAAUAUAUAUAUAUUUUUAUUAUUUCGUCACCACACGUUCCACAUUGACAGAGACAGCAUUCUAUAGAGGGAGGAUUACAUUGGAGAGGAAAUCAUCGAGUGAUUGAAGUCUAACAUUAUUAUAUUCUGAAUUUCCAUCCAACACAAUUUAUUAAAAUUAGCUCCAUGGAGCAUGAGCUUCAUAUUUUCGGGAAAUACGCAAACGGAUACAGAAUCUGUCCCAGAACUUCCGACUAAUACACAUUCCUUAGGUCUAAACGCUGCAAACUUCGAAUAACCAAUUUUGUAUUGGGGAUAUUUGGGUUUGAAGAGCAAUAUCCUGCUCACAUUUUCGGAUUUAUAAAAGUUGAACACGUCUUGAGCAGCCUGUUCAUCAAUUCUGAAGCCCCUUUUUGGAUUUGGAUCCACCAAAAUUCCUUUACCCAUGGUCAACUUCUUGGCAAAUCGGGUAAAAUGAUAUGUUGUUUUUUCUGUGUUUGGAGAAACCAGUUUACAGCGUUCCAAAAUGGAAAUUAAAAAAGAGAAAAUUCGAUACAUUCUUCUUUAUCAAAACGGCCAAAAAAAAAAAGUACUGUUUAUGGAACCAAUACAGUAUCGAAUGCAACAGGAAAGCGAUGGUUCCAAGGAUUCCCUUCUGGUAAUAUGGACGUCAAAGAUGGGGUACGAUCUGGCAGGCCAAUCAUCGAAAAUGUCAAAAAAUAACGGAAAUCGUCGAGUUGGACCGGUAUAGGAAUGUCAUUAUUUAUUUUAAUUAUAUUGUCAAAAUAAAGCAAAUAACCCUCA